GCUGAAGAUUACUGGUUUCUCGAGCCUCAACAUCGCUAUAUCGUUUAUAAAUCCAUUGUCGAUGUAAUCAGGAUGCAGAGAUAUGUGAUCCAAACGUAAUACUUGCUCGUACGGACUUGGAAAGCUUCCUCUGCGAGUAGCUCCGAUUCUCGCCACCCAAUAUUCGUCUUGAGCACUGUGACAGAUGUUGAAAUAAUUAUUGAGCUACUUGAUUGUUUUAUUCUUCAAUUUUUGAAUUCUUUCUUCUUUUCUGUCGAUUAUGUUAAUAUCGUUAUUCUCUUUUAGGAACUAAUGUGAUAUAUGAAUAUUUUAUUUUCAUAUAUAUAUAUGUAAAAUAAAAAGAGAAAAGUUUUAACAUUGAUAAAUGGUGAUGGAAAAUUUUUCUCUAUUGAUGUUCUUUAAUAAAAGUUGUACAGGAAGAUACAUAUUCGAAGCAACUUGCCAUGGCCAACUUCCAGCUGAAGAGCUACCACCGCCAACUAUCCUGGAACGUCGUGAAACAUUCGACCUGUUUCAAUGUAUACAUCUUAAACGAGUAUACGCAUUCAGUAGCUUUUACUGCAAUUUGUGUUUUAAAAUUAAACACGUUUAUAUUUUUUCUCAAUUAUUCCUAA